UAUUGGCGCUACUCGCGCGGUUUUGCUGGGGAACAGCCAGCAAACGUAAGGGGGAAAGUUGGGUGCGAAUCCGACACUGUCCCGCAGCUGUGAUGGGCGGCGCGCGCGUCGCUCUAAGUCAGAAUGCCCGCCGCAAUCCGAGUCGAGUU
rnacentral:ncRNA from 2 species